rnacentral:lncRNA from 1 species
ACGAUUAUUGGAGAUUGUUUUGGUUAGAAGAUGGUUAUAGAUUUUUGAUUUACUUUAUCUUCUGGUUCAAAUAUGAUGCCCAGUGAUGGGAGAAUUGAAAACCUAAACAGUGGUAAGCGUGGUUGAUUUUUCAUUAGCCCGUACUUACCACAAGCACCACCUCUCUCUCUCACUACAACAAACAACAACCAAGCCUUAUCCCACUAUACGUGGGAUUGGCUGGAUGAAUCAUUGAACGCCAUUACGCUGGGUUUUGUGCCAAGUCUUCCGUUAUCUCUGUCUCUCAUACAUAUAAAUAUAUACAUACAUUCACACAUACAUACGUUGGUGGUGCAUGGUGGAGUACGAAGGCUUUUGAGGAACGCCACUAGCCGUGAACUGUAUAUGACUCGUUCAAAGGUGUGAGAUCUGAGGGCACGAACCUUUGAAGUAGUGAUGCUUGUCAAGUUAUUUUUCAAGGUUAGAGCACGAGCCUUUGGUGUAGUAAUGUUGUGCUAAUGAUGAGUUAUACUCUGUAUCUAGCCUUUCUUUUUCUUGAAUUAUUUUGGAUCAUUACCAUGUUCUCUGAUAUAGUUUUUUUGCUGCUUCUGAAAGGUUUAUUUGCCUAAUGAUGGAAAACUCAUUUAUGGAGCGGUUCUGUGGAUUGUUAUUAGGAGCCUUUUCUAUCAUUUUCCUAUACUAGUCGCCGUCAUCAUCAACACCACCAUUCUUCUCUCUCUCUCUCUCUCUCUCUCUCUUCUCUCUCUCUUCUCUCUCCCUCUCUGGCUUGUAUGGUUGAAGAUGUGAAGAGGUUCAUAGUGAUAAUCCACAGUUAACUAGCAAUGACCAGAUAUAGCUAUGAGAUCUGAAGGCUCUUCAGUUUUUUGCCUUUUUUUAUUUAAGAUAUGCUUGUUGAAUUUUAAAUUAUUUUUGUUCCCUUAGUUAUUUAUAUAGGUCAUUGCAGCAUUGUAGACAUUAUUUUAGUUUAACUGGAGCACUUUUGGCAUUGCAGUAUUUGAUUACUAUAAAUGUACUGUUACUUUUGUAUUGAUUUCAAAUUUUCUGUUAAUAGAAAACCAAAGAGCACUUUCGGCAUUGCAGUAUUUUUGUAUAUAAUGCGAGCUCCCUUCAGACUCAAACCUGCUUGUACAUUGUUACAUAUAAAGCUAAUAAACUGUCGUUUGGAAAAAAAUUCACUCUUUCAUUGUUACUGAGUGCUUUUAUUUCCUACAAAGCUAUUAUUGUAGAUUGUUUUUGUUGAAAGAUGGUUAUACAUUUUGAUUAACUUUAUCUUCUGGUUCAAAUAUGAUGCCCAGUGAUGGAAAGUUGAAAACCUAAAUAGUGGUAAGGGUGGUUGAUUCUUCAUUAUCCCGUACUAACCACAAGCACCACCUCUCUCUCUCUCUCUCUCUCUCUCUCUCUCUCUCUAAUAUAUAUACAUACAUACAUACACACACAUACGUUGGUGCUGCAUUGUGGAGUAUGAAGGCUUUUGAGGAACGCCAUUGCCCAUGAACUGGAAAUGACUUAUUGCUAUG